UGCAGCAGCAGCGUCUCAGCAUCAUGACGUAGCGCUCUGCAUAAAACCAGAGUUUGAGGAACAAGCUGCUAAGAAAGCGCUGUCCACUGUGAUAAAGGCCCACGCUGACACAAAACGUUUUUUCGACUCGCUUGGUGGAACCGGGAGAACCUCGGUGUCGGGACCUUUAGGAUCCCACCUUCGCCGUCCCGGAUAUGGCUGGGCUCGACGGACUCAGGGUACUGCUGCUGCUGGCUGGGCUGGUCUCCAUGGCAAACUUAAAGCCGACGACUCCCACUGGAGAUCCUCAGACUACCACUGUAUAUCGGAGGUAUCCCUUUGGAGUUCCGCAGACUACCACUGUAUAUCGGAGGUAUCCCUUUGGAGUUCCGCAGACUACCACUGUAUAUCGGAGGUAUCCCUUUGGAGUUCCGCAGACUACCACUGUAUAUCGGAGGUAUCCCUUUGGAGUUCCGCAGACUACCACUGGUAAGUUGUAGUGCCGUGUUUCAUUCUGCACAAAAAACAACAACUGUCAAUCAUGCAGUUCAAUUAUUACCUCAUCGUGGUAACAAUUACAUCGCUCUCUCUCUCUCUCUCUCUCUCUCUCUCUCUCUCUCUCUCUAUCUCCAUUUGCAGUAUAUCGGAGGUAUCCCUUUGGUAAGUUGUAAUGCAGUUCUUCAUUCUACACAAAAAAACAAAGUCAAUUAUGCAGUUCAAUUAUUACCUCAUCGUGAAAACAAUUCUCUCUCUCUCUCUCUCUCUCUCUCUCUC